rnacentral:rRNA from 1 species
UACAGAGGUCUCAAGCGUUGUUCGGAUUCAUUGGGCGUAAAGGGUGCGAGUAGGCGGCGCGGUAAGUCGGGUGUGAAAUCUCGGAGCUUAACUCCGAAACUGCAUUCGAUACUGCCGUGCUUGAGGACUGGAGAGGAGACUGGAAUUACGGUGUAGCUGGUGAAAUGCGUAGAUAUCGUAAGGAAGACCAGUGGCGAAGGCGGGUCUCUGGACAGUUCCUGACGCUGAGGCACGAAGGUCAGGGGAGCAAACGGG